UACGUAGGGUGCGAGCGUUGUCCGGAAUUAUUGGGCGUAAAGAGCUCGUAGGCGGUUUGUCGCGUCUGUCGUGAAAACUGGAGGCUUAACUUCCAGCGUGCGGUGGAUACGGGCAGACUUGAGUUCGGUAGGGGAGACUGGAAUUCCUGGUGUAGCGGUGAAAUGCGCAGAUAUCAGGAGGAACACCGGUGGCGAAGGCGGGUCUCUGGGCCGAUACUGACGCUGAGGAGCGAAAGCGUGGGGAGCGAACAGGAUUAGAUACCCCAGUAGU
rnacentral:rRNA from 1 species